GCCUGCGGUGGCAGUGAACUCUCAGGAGUGGGUAGGCUCGUAGGUGCAGACCACAGAAUCAGUAUUAGUGAGCAGUUAAGGCAGGAGAGAAUUUACUAAAGGGUGUAGGUGAGCUCCAGGCUCUAGGUUGAUCUUACAGGAAUGACUCCCAGAGGCGUGCAGAGCUGGCCAGUUUGGAGUCGCUGCUCAGUGGCCUCUGCUGCUCCUCAUGGCCCAUCGCACACCUCCACCCAGCUGCUUCCCUGCGAACAACUCGAAGUCUCAGACUGCCAGCAACAGGGAGCGGGUUGCCCUUGCUCCUACUGUGUCCCCAUGUCUCAGCACGGGGCUGUCACACAGAAGGCGCUCAAUGAAUACAGGCCGAGUGAAUGAAUGAACCGACGAAGACCCAGGUGCUGUGCAAAGACCGGUGAUUCUGGGGAGGAUGGACUGUGUCCUGAGCUCCUAAGAUUUCGCAGAGGAGCAGUGACAGGGUCUGAAUUUCGGCAGGAAGGCCGCUCUGGAUCCAGGAAAUGGGUUUGUGACGGCGAGGUGGCCACUCCGUUUCUUUCCCAUAUCUCAGCCUCCUAGAUCAGGAGCCAGAAGAGAUGUUGGAGACCAUUAAGAAGAGAGCAGAAAGCUGAAGUUCAAAAGAGAAAAUGAUUUUCCAGGGUCAUACACUGGGAGAGGGGCCAGGGCCCACUGGGGCUCUGCCUAACUCUGCUCUGUGCUGUCUCUGGGGUGCGUAGCUGAGGCCUCACUCAGCACCCAGCUGGCUGUGUGAGGAAGCGGUGGGGAGAGAGUGUCACACUCCAUCGUGACCAGGUCAGAAAGCCCACACGUCUACACAUUGCCUGGGCCCCGGAUGGGUGGGCAGCACUCUCCUGUUUCUCAGAGGGAACGUAGAGAGGGGAUGUAAGCACCUUACCACAACAGAGCACUGUUCACACAGAGACGCAGGCCUCCCAAUUCACCCCAGAUACCCAAGGCCAGAGGAGGCGCUGGUACCAAGGGGGCUACUGUCUAAGCUUCAGUCAAGGAGGAAUGGAGCAGAGCACCUCCAGGCCUGCUCCAGGGACUGAGGGGGCACAGGCAGGAACUGGACCAUCCCUGAAGCCACUUUCAGGAAAGAGAGGAAAAGGUCCUUUAACCGAGGGCCCACUUUGUACCAGCCACUUAACCUGCAGCAGCUCGACUCUCUUAGCAAAUGCCCAUGGAGGGAGC
rnacentral:lncRNA from 1 species